rnacentral:lncRNA from 1 species
AUUGAAAGAUAGUAAUGAUUAUUCAUCUUCCGAAAAAAAAAAAAAAAAGCCAAUGGAAGCUCAAAGAAAGAAGAACUUGUAGAAAUCUAGAAUGAACCAUCACAUAUUGAAGACAGUCCACAUUGAACCAGAAGAAACUUGCAUCGGAGGAAAGUGAACUAGGCCCUAAUCACCUCACCAUAAAUGGAAAAAAGCAGAAGCGAAAAACAAACUCCAUUGAAACCGAUAACUGCCUUGAAUCCACAAAGUGGCUGUUUG